GCCCUUGAGUUUGAUCCUGGCUCAGGAUGAACGCUAGCGGGAGGCUUAACACAUGCAAGUCGAGGGGCAGCACGGGAUAGCAAUAUUCUGGUGGCGACCGGCGCACGGGUGAGUAACACGUAUGCAACCUACCUCGUACAGGGGGAUAACCCGGAGAAAUUCGGACUAAUAUCCCAUAAUGAUAUUGAGAGGCAUCUUUUAAUAUUUAAAGCUCAGGCGGUACGGGAUGGGCAUGCGGAACAUUAGCUAGUUGGCAGGGUAACGGCCUACCAAGGCUGCGAUGUUUAGGGGACCUGAGAGGGUUAUCCCCCACACUGGUACUGAGACACGGACCAGACUCCUACGGGAGGCAGCAGUGAGGAAUAUUGGUCAAUGGGCGCAAGCCUGAACCAGCCAUCCCGCGUGAAGGAAGAAGGCGCUAUGCGUUGUAAACUUCUUUUCCAGGGGGAGAAUUUUUCCGUCGUGACGGGAAUUGACGGUACUCUGGGAAUAAGCAUCGGCUAACUCCGUGCCAGCAGCCGCGGUAAUACGGAGGAUGCGAGCGUUAUCCGGAUUUAUUGGGUUUAAAGGGUGCGUAGGCGGAUAGAUAAGUCAGUGGUGAAAUUCUGCAGCUUAACUGUAGACUUGCCGUUGAUACUGUCAGUCUUGAGUAUGGUCAAGGCAGGCGGAAUGUGUAAUGUAGCGGUGAAAUGCUUAGAUAUUACACAGAACACCGAUUGCGAAGGCAGCUUGCUGGGCCAUUACUGACGCUGAUGCACGAAAGCGUGGGGAUCGAACAGGAUUAGAUACCCUGGUAGUCCACGCCGUAAACGAUGAUCACUCGCUGUUGGCGAUACACAGUCAGCGGCUAAGCAAAAGCAUUAAGUGAUC
rnacentral:rRNA from 1 species